UACGAAGGGGGCUAGCGUUGUUCGGAAUUACUGGGCGUAAAGGGCGCGUAGGCUGUGCUGUAAGUCAGGCGUGAAAGGCCCGGGCUCAACCUGGGAACUGCGUUUGAUACUGCGGCGCUGGAAUGCAGGAGAGGAUGGCGGAAUUCCCAGUGUAGAGGUGAAAUUCGUAGAUAUUGGGAAGAACACCGGUGGCGAAGGCGGCCAUCUGGCCUGCAAUUGACGCUGAGGCGCGAAGGCGUGGGGAGCAAACAGG
rnacentral:rRNA from 1 species